rnacentral:tRNA from 3 species
UCCUCAAUAGCUCAGUUGGUUAGAGCACCUGACUGUUAAUCAGGGGGUCCUAGGUUCAAGUCCUAGUUGAGGAG